UGGCGGACGGGUGGAGUAACGCGUGGGUAACCUGCCCUGUACAGGGGGAGUAACAGUCAGAAAUGACUGCUAAUACCGCAUAAGACCACAGCACCGCAUGGUGCAGGGGUAAAAACUACCGGUGGUACAGGACGGACUCGCGUCUGAUUAGCUGGUUGGUGAGGUAACGGCUCACCAAGGCGACGAUCAGUAGCCGGCUUGAGAGAGUGAACGGCCACAUUGGGACUGAGACACGGCCCAAACUCCUACGGGAGGCAGCAUG
rnacentral:rRNA from 1 species